rnacentral:rRNA from 1 species
UACAGAGGUCCCCAAGCGUUGUUCGGAUUCACUGGGCGUAAAGGGUGCGUAGGCGGCUUUGCAAGUCUGAUGUGAAAUCUCCGGGCCCAACCCGGAAAUGGCAUUAGAAACUGCGGAGCUGGAGGCUUGGAGGGGGAACUGGAAUGCUCGGUGUAGCAGUGAAAUGCGUAGAGAUCGAGCGGAACACCGGUGGCGAAGGCGAGUUCCUGGACAAGACCUGACGCUGAGGCACGAAAGCCGGGGGAGCAAACAGGAUUAGAAACCCCUGUAGU